rnacentral:lncRNA from 1 species
CAGAGCCUUGCACAAGAUAGGCAAGCAUACUGCCUCUGAGCCACUCCUCAGUCCUCAGGGGUUUUGAGCGCUGUUGGGGCCUCCUAGCUUAGCAGGAGUGUUGUGUAGAGCUGUGUGUUCACACAGUCCCAUUGGGUUUGUGGAGGCUUGCCUCUGGCCAUUCUGUUUCUCAGACAUGCUGGGCUAUGAUCUACAGUAAGAAGUACUUCUCCCCGAGGGCCUGCCGUGAGCAUGCACAUACACACACGCAACAUGCUGUGACCGUGGAGGCUGUGUGGUGCACUCUGCUCCUCUCCGUGGUUCCUUGGUAUUAAGCUGCUGUAUGUGACCGUGUUAGUUUUCAACCAGCUUGGAUGCCCGGGCGCUCUGGAUGUCCACACCUGGCACAGGGUAGGUAUAGAUUUUUCUUGAAUAAGUGAGUAGAUAAAAGUGGUGUGAGAACAUUUUGUAAAAAUCCUUAUUUUCUCUCCGGGGACAAUCAUCAGUCAAGGACAAAUGCGAGUGGUGGUGAGGAGCAGGACUCCGCCCGGUGCCUGCCUCCCCAGCCCUGCCGUCCAUCUGGUGGAUGAUGACUGGCACCUGGUCUGCAUCCAGAUAUGGGCUACUGAUCGUGGUCAUCCUGUGGAUCAAGUCCCCUUCUCAGGUCCCUCAGCAAGGCUCUCCUGGGUUCUCCCACUGUCUUCAGCCUUCAUUUCCCUCUAUCCCUUCUCUCCUGAUUUCAUGGUUUUCAGCCUCUCUGCAUAUUGGAAUCAGCCAGAAUGUACCCCAGAAAAGCUUGAUGGGACUCGGGUGGGGCCCAGGCACUAGGAGUUUUCAAGCUCUGACAGUACACGAUCACUAAUGAUCACUGUCCUGGGCUGGGCCCCUCUUCCUAUUAGCUGGACAGUGAGGUUGGAUCCUGGGGCCGGCCCUGAGGCUGAGGGCAGCCUGUUCUGUCAGAGGACAUAUCCGGGGCCCUGGCUGCCUGCCCACCCCCGCCUUCAGGCCUCCAGGCUUGGAGGAAGUCUUAGCAUGACCAGCAUUCCUCUGGGGCAGGGUGUCUUCUGGGCUUGGCAGUGGGAAGUUGGCACCCACAAGGCCCCGGGCAUGAUGAGUCAUGGCUCACCAGGAGUGACCCUGCCUGGCUGACUGUGUCACCUUGGGUUAGUUUAAAACAGAUUCCUGGACUCCCCACCUACAUAGAAACACUGAAUCCAAAGGUCUAGGGUGGGUCACACUGAUUUUUUUUUUUUAAGUAAAUUAAAGUCAAAUGUAAGUGAAUCUUACUACCCAUUUACCUCCGUUUAUAUUUUAGGGUAACAUUGAUAACAUGUUAUUUUGAGGGGUUGUACAGGAAGAUAUGGGUGAUUGUGUUCUGAGUAGUCUGCUGUUCCUGUGUGUCACAUCAUGAAGGGGUGCCUGGAGCCACUGCCGCCUCUCAACCUCGAGGGGAGCUGGGCCAGGUCAAGCUGAUGGAUACAGCAGAAAACCAAGACCCUUGGCCCUGGAGCAUGUCCGCCACGGCGUCAACUCGGCUGGAGCCUUGUUCACACAGAGCAGUUGCCCGCCCACUCCCCAGGCCCCACGGGGCCCCCAGUCACAAGUCACUGGCAGUACUUGAAGCAGCAUGCAGAUGCUCCUACGGCACUUCCUGCACUUGGC